rnacentral:lncRNA from 1 species
CAAAUUAGAGCUUGGAAUGGACAUCAUAUGCUUGGAGCCAAGAGGAUGGACGAAAUUGAAGAUGAUGUUUCCUACCUGAACAAGGUUUCCUAGUGGAAGUAGGAAAACGCCUAAGUAAAAGAUGGAAUCCUAGUUGAAUUAGGAUUCCUAGUUGAAAUAGGUUUCCUAGUGAAAUUGGGAUUCCUAGAAGAUAAAGAUUCCUACUCAAACAAGGUUUCCUACUUGGAGUAGGAAAGUCAAAAUCCAAAUGGUCUCAAGAGAAGCAACAAAGAAGUUUUCCAAGUCCAAGAAGGAAAAAGAUUCCAAGAUGAAGAAGGAAAGACAAAGACAUGGUUUCCUAAUCCUAAUAGGCAAAGUUUCCAAGUGAAAUGAGGAGUCCUUAUCCAUUUAGGGCACCUUAUCCAUUUAGGACACCUAAACCUUAUCCUUAUCCCUUAGUGCCGCACCCUAGGCCUUCUAGAAACCUGAUUUCCUUUCCUUGCAAGGCCAUCUAGAAGCCUUAUCCUUAUAAUCCAUUCCUGCCGCACCUAGGGUGACCUUUCCUACCCAAAAUCUGAUUGUUUUAAGCCCUUUCUUGAUGGGAUUUAAUCCUCCAAGUCCUAAUCUGAUUUGCUAGACUUUUAGGACCCUAUAAAUACAUGGUGUCGUACCCUUCACAUUCACCACUCACCACAAUUCACAAUUCACUCCAAAAAUUCACAAGAACCCUUUGCCGCACCAAUUCACUCCCAUUCACCAUACAAUCUGACCUUGCCGCACCCCCCACCCUUCCUAAACACUUCUACCUUAGUCCAUACUUAUCCACCCAUACAUAUAAGUCCCAACCUGUCCCUAAAGUCCUUUGCCGCAGCAAGGAGGAGGAGAAUGAGCCUUGGAAGUUCAUGCCGUGCAAGUUCAAGUGGCUGGAAGUUUUAGGUGUUUCCUUCCCUUUGAUUUCAAUGUUUAAACUUAUUACUCUUUGUUUUAUGCUUAUGAGGAACUAAACCCCCCCCUUGGCUAGGGGGGAUUCGAAAUACAUGAUUAUGCUUGCGAUAUGAUUUGAUUACUUCUAAUUGCGUUUCAUAAGUUGUGAAUUCAAUUUACUUAUCUAUAUGAAUUACAUUGAUUUGUGUUUGUUGGUUGAGAGUGCACGCUUAAUUAUCAUGCAUAAAUUGAAUGCUAGGAUAUAAGGAAAUUUCACCUAAUCGUUAUGGACUUAUAUUCACAAGUAGUAAAGGUUGAUGAUCUCAAUCGGGUUAAGUAAAUUCUUGGCAUAAGUUUCAUGCAAUCAUAGUAACAAGUGCUUUGUCAAUGCUUAUGGUUUUCAUAGAACUUAAUGAUUCUUGCUUGUAUCUCUAUUAUGCAAUCAUGUAGGGGACUUGUGGGGAAUGUUUUGGGUUGUCGUAUGCAAUCAUCCAAUUCAAUAACGUUAGGAAAAUCUGAAGGUUAAUUUAAGCGGACCUAAUUAACUUGAGGCGUUGAGAAUUCAUGGUUUAUUGAAAAGCAAUUGGAAAUCGUUUUGAAUGCAAGUAUAACAUGUGUGGAGAUGAACCCCUUAGCUAGCCUUCCAUCCAUUCAUUUAAAUCAAAUUCGUUUUCAAAAUCUGUCUAGUUUACAAAGUUUGUUUUGUUUUUAAAUUCGUCCAAAAUCAAUCCCCCUUCACUUUGUUGAGUCAUAGUAGUUAGAAUUCACUUUAGUUUGUGUUUUUAAGUGUCUUAGGUCAAGUUAAAACCAAUUUUCGUCCAAGUUUGUGUCUAGUGUUCAAAACUGCCCAGAUUGUGUUUUUAAGACAGUUUUGAGUGUUUAUUUGCUGUUUUGAGUCUUUUGGUUUGUUUUGGUGUUUAAAAGUUUAGUUUUGCAUUCUUUGAGUUUAGUUUAGUGUUUUAAACUUGUUUUUACGUAUUUGAGUCAGUUUUCAAGUGAUUUAGCAAUCCCUCCUAAUCCCCGGCCUAGAACGAUCCCUACUUACAUACUUGAUACAAUUGAUAAAAAGAGGGUUAAUUUGAGUGCUUAUAUAUUUCACAUCAAAUUUUGGCGCCGUUGCCGGGGAUUAGCAAGUUGCUAAUCCCUUGGAUUGUUAUUUUCGUUUUUCUUAUUAGAUCAGAUUCUUAUGUUAUUUUGUUUCUUGUUUUAGGUACUUGUUUAUGACUCGGAGUUCUAAUCCGGUUCACGAACAUAUUUUAGACUUUGACGACGAUUUUGAGCGUGAGUUGAGACGAAAGAGGAAGAACCCGGAACCUAGUGAAUCAAGUGCAAGUUCCGAGUCCGUUUCUGAAGUUGAAGAGGAAGUGGAAGACAUGGCAGCGGACAACCGAACGAUCAAGGAGCUUUCUGCUUCGGAAUUGAAAUCAAGCUUGUUACAUCACAUUCCGAAGUACCAUGGGCUGUCCAUGGAAGAUCCGAACAAGCAUUUGAAGGAGUUUGAAGUCGUUUGCUUAAGCAUGACUCCAGUGAACGUGGAUGAGAGCAUCUUGAAGAUGAAGGCCUUUCCCUUUUCUCUUCUAAAGAAGGCAAAAGAUUGGUUGUACGAAUUGGCUCCCGGAACUGUCACAUCAUGGGAGAGCAUGAAACGAGCUUUAUUGGAGAAGUUUUUCCCAACUUCUCGAGUCAUCCUCCUACGAAAAAGGAUAAGUGGAAUUCAACAAGAUGAAGGUGAGUCGUUUCCUACAUAUUAUGAACGUUUUAAAUCUCUUGUUGCUUCAUGUCCACAGCAUCAAAUGAAGGUGGAACUACUUCUACAAUACUUCUACGAGGGACUUCUACCAAUCGAACGUCAAAUGCUAGAUGCCUCAGCGGGAGGAGCAUUGGUGGAUAAGACCCCUACGGCUGCAAAGAUGUUGAUUGCGAAUCAACCGUUGAACGCUCAACAAUACGAAGGUGUUGGACAAAGGAGCAUGCCACGGCAACAUCAAGUCAAUGAGGUAAGUGCCAUAACUGAACUUCAAAAUCAAAUGGCUAACCUUACUACGUUGCUUUCUCAGGUGGUGGAAAGUCCAAAAGUCAAAAUCGUAGCUUCUUGUGGCGUAUGUUCCAUGCAAGGACACCCUACGGACAAGUGCCCACAAUUGAUCGAGAAUGGAGAGUGGGCAACACUCAAUGCCGUGGGAUAUGGCAACCAAUACCAAUCACGUGGUGAUCCGUUUUCUAAUACUUACAAUCCCGGUUGGCUUGAUCACCCGAAUUUCAAAUGGCGAGACCCCCAACAAGGCCAACAACAAAGCGGAUUUAGGCAACAACCCCCGGGUUUCUAUCAAAAGCCGUUGGCACCACCACAAGCCCAAGCACAACCUGCCCAAAGCAAUGUAGGUAAUUCAAGUGAUAAUGAUAAGAUUUUUCAAUUACUUACUACUUUGACGCAGGAAGUCCAAACUCAAAACAAAGAGAGGCAAAUCCAAGACAAGAGGGUGGACAACUUGGAGAAGCAAGUGGGACAAAUUGCCGAGUUCAUGGGGCAAUUUCGUGAGCAAGGAAGGUUGCCUAGCUCAACGGUGGUCAAUCCGAAAGGUGGAUUCGAAUCUGCAAAAGCUAUGCAUUUGCGAAGUGGAAAGCAAAUCGGAUCUGAUCUCAAACCAUCCAAGUCACGUUCCAACAAGGAGGACGAGUUGAGAAUUGAAGAGGAGGAGCAAAGGCCAUUCACGGCCAAGGUGGAACCAACCUUGCCGCAAGUUCCAAGUGACCCCAAUUCGUCCAAUUCGUCCAAUAAAGGUAAAAACGUGUCAAGUUCAGUUCCUACUAAUGAUGUUCCUGCGAAUGUUCCUUUUCCUAGUAGGUUUAAGCAAACAAAGAAAGAAGAAGCGGAAAAGGACAUUUUGGAGACGUUUCGGAAAGUUCAAGUCAAUAUCCCCCUUUUGGAUGCAAUCAAGCAAGUCCCGAGGUACGCCAAGUUCUUGAAGGAACUUUGCACCAAUAGGAGGAGGAUUUCGACCAAGGAGGUGGUCAAAGUAGGUGAAAACGUCUCAGCCAUCUUACAACGCAAGCUGCCCCCGAAAUGCAAAGAUCCGGGUAGUUUUACAAUUUCGUGUGUUAUUGGUAAUUCUAGGUUUGAAUCUGCCAUGUUAGACCUAGGUGCAUCUAUCAAUGUCAUGCCAUAUUCAAUUUAUGCAUCUAUGAACCUAGGAGCGUUGAAAAACGAUGGUGUGAUCAUACAAUUAGCCGAUAGAUCUAAUGCCUAUCCAAAGGGAGUUUUGGAAGAUGUGUUAGUGCAGGUUAAUCAUUUAAUCUUCCCGGCGGACUUUUACGUACUUGAGAUGGAUGAAUCGGACCAUGCCCCUUCAUUGCCCAUCCUCCUUGGAAGGCCAUUCAUGAAAACUGCUCGGACGAAGAUUGACGUCUAUAAUGGCACGUUGACGAUGGAAUUUGAUGGGGAAGUUAAUAAUUUUAAUCUUUCUGAUUCCAUGAAGUACCUAGUGAGAAUCAUUCAUGUUUUGCUAUUGAUGUAAUUGACUCUUUGUCGCAGGACCAUUUUGACAAAUUGAACGACGAUGCACUUGAAUUGGUCAUUGCGCAAGGCAUGGACAAGCAAAACAUUGAAGCCACAACCAUGGGAACCCACGGCAUGCAUGGUCAUUCUUUUGCCGUGCCCCCUAAUGAUGAGGUCAUUGAGAUGGUGGCUGCCCUCGAGUCAUUGCCAUCACAAUCGGGUAAGUAUUCGGACCUUAUUUUAAGUUCGGUUUCGGCUAAUAAAAUGCUUCCCUCAGUUGUGCAGCCACCUACACUUGAACUUAAGCCGUUGCCUAGUCAUUUGAAGUACGUUUUCUUGGGCGAGGAUGACACGUUGCCCGUCAUUAUUUCAUCCUCACUCACGGCACAAGAAGAGAGCAAAUUGGUGCGAGUGCUUAAGGAGUACAAAACGGCAAUUGGAUGGACAUUGGCCGACAUCAAGGGAAUUAGCCCUACUGCAUGCAUGCAUCGCAUACUUCUAGAGGAGGGGUCCAAAACAUCCCGAGAGGCACAACGCCGUCUCAACCCUCCGAUGAUGGAAGUUGUGAAGAAGGAGGUAAUCAAGCUUUUGGAUUGUGGAGUAAUCUAUCCAAUCUCGGAUAGUAAGUGGGUCUCACCCGUUCAAUGUGUUCCAAAGAAAUAUGGAGUGACUGUGGUUGCAAAUGCAGAGAAUGAACUUGUUCCUCAACGCAUUCAAACCGGUUGGAGGGUGUGCAUCGAUUAUAGGAAGCUAAACACUGCAACAAGGAAGGAUCACUUCCCAUUGCCGUUCAUCGACCAAAUGCUUGAGAGGUUAACCGGUUAUGCUUUCUAUUGUUUUCUUGAUGGUUAUUCUGGUUAUAAUCAAAUUGUCAUAACACCCGAAUAUCAAGAAAAAACCACUUUUACAUGCCCUUUUGGUACUUUUGCAUAUCGUCGCAUGCCUUUUGGUUUAUAUAAUGCACCUGCUACAUUUCAAAGAUGCAUGAUAAACAUAUUUUCUGAUUAUGUUGAGAAAAUCAUUGAAGUGUUUAUGGAUGAUUUUAGCGUGUUUGGUGAUUCUUUUGAUGGUUGCUUUCAUAAUCUUAGUUUAAUCUUAAAACGUUGCGUUGAAACUAACCUUGUUCUUAAUUGGGAAAAAUGUCAUUUCAUGGUUAAACAAGGCUUAGUUUUAGGUCAUAUAGUCUCUGAAAACGGUAUUGAGGUUGAUAAGUCAAAAAUAGAUCUUGUACGUCACUUACCCUCUCCAACUUCGGUUAGAGAGGUUCGUUCUUUUCUUGGCCAUGCAGGUUUCUAUCAUAGGUUUAUCAAGGAUUUCUCGAAGGUUGCACAACCUCUUUGCCGUCUCCUACAAAAAGACGUGACGUUUGAAUUCACCAAGGAGUGCACGACAUCAUUCAACCAACUUAAGGAGUUGUUGACCACGGCACCCAUCAUUGUUCCACCGGAUUGGAGUCUACCUUUCGAGCUCAUGUGUGAUGCGUCCGACUAUGCUUUAGGAGCUGUUUUAGGACAAAGAAAGGACAAGAUGCCGCAUGUCAUCUACUACGCCUCACGGACGUUGAAUGAUGCACAAUUGAACUACUCCACUACGGAAAAAGAACUUCUUGCCGUUGUCUUUGCUUUAGAUAAAUUUUGAUCAUAUCUAAUUGGUACUAAAGUAAUUGUUUUCACUGAUCAUGCAGCUCUGAAGUACUUGCUCACCAAAAAGGAGGCCAAGCCACGGCUAAUUCAAUGGAUGUUGCUACUUCAAGAGUUCGACAUAGAGAUUCUAGACAAGAAGGGAAGUGAAAACUUGGUGGCUGACCACCUAAGCCGAAUGGUGCACAAUGAAGAGGCCCUACCCAUUGCCGACAUUCCCCGAUGAACAAUUGCUGUCCAUUAAGGUUAGUGCACCUUGGUAUGCCGAUAUUGUUAAUUUUUUGGUGUCAAAACGUAUUCCAAGUGAGUUCACUAGGCACCAACGUGAUAAACUUAGGCAUGAUGCACGGUUUUAUGUGUGGGAUGAUCCGUACUUAUGGAAAUUUUGCCCCAAUCAGAUUAUACGUCGUUGUGUGCACGAUUCUGAAUGUCAUUCAAUUUUGAGUUUUUGUCACACAUAUGCAUGUGGAGGGCACUUUGGCACACAACGCACAGCCCUUAAGGUGUUACAAAGUGGAUUCUAUUGGCCUAGUAUUUUUAAAGAUGCUAAAAUUUUUUGCUUAACAUGUGAUAAAUGCCAACAUGUGAUAAAUGCCAACGAAUGGGUGGAAUUAGUGCAAGGGACCAAAUGCCGCAGGUUUCUAUCCUAAAUGUUGAAAUUUUUGAUGUUUGGGGUAUUGAUUUUAUGGUCCAUUCCCUUCAUCGUAUGGUUUCAUGUAUAUUUUGCUUGCGGUUGAUUAUGUGUCGAAAUGGGUGGAAGCCAAGGCCACCCGGACUAAUGAUUCUAAAGUGGUUGCAGAUUUUAUUAGAACUAACAUUUUUGCAAGGUUUGGAAUGCCACGAGUGAUCAUUAGUGAUGGAGGGUCACAUUUUUGCAAUCGGACCAUUGAAGCGUUAUUGAGGAAAUACAGUGUCACCCAUAAGGUUUCUACACCUUACCAUCCUCAAACGAAUGGCCAAGCCGAGGUUUCCAACUGAGAGAUCAAGCAAAUACUUGAGAAGACCGUUGGGCCAACAAGGAAGGAUUGGAGCUUACGAUUAGAUGAUGCACUUUGGGCGUAUCGUACAACGUACAAAACCCCUAUUGGGAUGUCCCCCUUCCGACUUGUCUAUGGCAAGGCGUGCCAUCUUCCCGUUGAAUUGGAACACAAAGCACUUUGGGCCAUCAAGAAAUUUAACAUGAAACUCGAUGAAGCGGGAAGUAAAAGGAAAUUGCAAUUGAAUGAGCUUGAUGAGAUACGGCACGAGGCGUACGAUAAUGCAAGCAUUUACAAGCAAAAGACCAAAGCUUUCCAUGACAACAUGAUCCGUGGGAAAUCAUUCUCAAUUGGGCAGAAAGUGCUAUUGUUCAAUUCCCGUUUACGUUUGUUUCCCGGUAAGUUACGUUCUAAGUGGAUUGGAUUGGACCGUUUGUUAUUACUAAUGUUUUUGUUCAUGGUGCAGUCAUCCAAAUCCAAAGCUUGAAAAACGGGACAAGAAUUCAAGGUGAACGGGCAUCGUUUGAAGCCCUAUUAUGACACCUUUGUGGAGCAUGCCGUGGAUGACAUACCCUUGGAUGCCGUGGGCCCUAGUAAGGAGUGAAUGAGGUCUUCGUCCGGCUGUACGACGUUAAAGCAAGCGCUACUUGGGAGGCAACCCAUGCAUUCAACAAAGGACGACCUAGAAAGCACUCCAAUUCCAGAUUUGCGUUCCUAAACCCUUCUCUUUGUUGUUAUUUCAUUCAUGCCAUAUUAGAUUGUUAGUUGCUGUUUUGUGGUUUGUUUGUUAAUUGUGUUAGUUUAUGCUUGAAACAUUGAGGACAAUGUUUGAUUUAAGUAUGGGGGGUAACCAAAGUAUUUUCUUGCAAAUUCGUAGGGUUUACUCACUCAUGAUUUCUAAUGUUGUUUCUUGCUGUUUUUAAGCCUUUUUAAGCUAUUUUGGUGUGUUUUGAGUCAAAAAUCCGAAAAUCCCAUAAAAAUUUGAAAAAAUUGUUUUAAAAAACCCAAAAAGUGUUGUUUUUGUGUGUUUGUUUGUGUCUUAGGGUACCUUCCAACACAAUGAUGAGGAUUCGGUUUGUAAUUGCAUGAUUGUUAAAGAGAGUUAUAAACAUGGAUAAAAGUUUGAUUUACUCUUUGGUUUAUGCUUGGUUGUGGUUAUAACUUAUGCAUUCACAUGUAAUCAUAAGGAAAAAAUUAGUUUUUAUAACAUGCUUGAAGGAAGGAACUCAAACAAACGCUACAACCUUGUGAGACUUGAGCCUAAACGUUUAUUUGGAGAGUUAAAAUCUGUGUAUUCUUGUUUUCUAAAGUCGUUGCAUGAUCUCAUUAUUCUUUGCUUGGUUACUACUUAGAAGGCGUUUCAUCAUUUAGUUCCAAAUGCUAGAACUCAUGCCAAUUUCAUUCAAAACAUGUUAUUGAAUUACAUAACACAUAUUCAAGAUAAAGUUAGUAGUUACCACCAUUACCAAAAAGCCUUCAUUCCAUGCAUUCGUUUUUGUAGGUUUAACCCCGUUGAGCCUCGUUUAGCCUAUGUUGUUUGUUAACCCACAUUAUCCUUACCUAGCCUAGAUUAGGAUUAUCCAUACCCUUGUUCUUAGAACGUAGUUAAGCAUGACUCAAGACGAAUUCCUUUGAUCGUGGUAUUGCAGAAACAUAAGUGUGGGGGAAAGAUUCUUGAUAUGGGAAUGUGCCAAAAUUCAUAUUGAGGCACGGGUUAGGAGAAAAGAAAAAAAAAGAAAAAAGAGAAAAAUUCGUGCAAAAUAGAAAGAAAAGAAAAAUAGUUGUGAAAAGUAUGAAAAGGAGUUGGAAGAGCAUAAAAAUAAGCUCUAAGUGUUGGUUGUUGAAGAAAGGGUCCAAAAAGUUGCAUUUGACCCUAAAUAUGCAUGCAUAUUCCCCUUUGUGUUUAAAGUUGUUUUCUGCACUCUAAAGUGAAUUCUAAGUGUCAAUUUCAUUGCUUUGCUUACUAUUGUUUUAAGAACGUUUGUUUAUCCUUUACUCUUCUUUGUUAGCCAAUACCCCAAGCCCCGUUACAACCCUUUACUUUAAUCUUGAGUGUUAUGUGUUUCAAUUUGUGGAGUUUAACAUUGGUAUGAGCAUAUGGUGUCACUAGUUCUCGCAUCUAAGUAGUAGCAUUCCAUUCAUGAGAUCAUAUUUAAACAUGUUGUUAACUCCGGAAAGUGCUUCCUUUGUCAUACAUAUAUGUGAGCAUUCGUUUUCAUAUUUUACAUCUAAUCUUCUCACAUAUAACUAGUAUAUGGUGUGUAGUCAGAAAUUCUGUGUGAAAAUUGAGUGCAUAUCUAGUAAGGAAUUGAGCAAAUUCUCUAAGGCAUGUUACUACAUUCAAAACAUCGUUUUAAUUGGUUAUUUGUGAACUAAUAAGUAGUGACUAUGAUUAAGUAUGUGCUUAAGCGUAAAGAUGGCUAAAAUCUGUGGGAAUGAUGAUUUUUAACAUGUCAUGUGCAUUGGAAAUCCCUGAGGCGAUUGUUGGAAGGCUUAGGUUGUGUUUUACUCGUUUUGUUUCGUUUAUUUACUUUGUUUCGUUUUGUUUUGCUCGAGGACUAGCAAAAGCUAAGUGUGGGGGAAUUUGAUAGGAGCAUAUUUAUGCGCCUUAGUUUAGCUUGUUCUUGUGCAUUUAUAGUGUUUUUCCUUAGUAAAGUAGUCUUUUAAGCUAGUUUUAUGUGUUUUCAGGUUCUAAGGGCAAAGUAUGCAAAAGGAUGCAUUUUGGAGCCUUUUGGAGCAAAUUAGAGCUUGGAAUGGACAUCAUAUGCUUGGAGCCAAGAGGAUGGACGAAAUUGAAGAUGAUAUUUCCUACCUGAACAAGGUUUCCUAGUCGAAGUAGGAAAGCGCCUAAGUAAAAGAUGGAAUCCUAGUUGAAUUAGGAUUCCUAGUUGAAAUAGGUUUCCUAGUGAAAUUGGGAUUCCUAGAAGAUAAAGAUUCCUACUCAAACAAGGUUUCCUACUUGGAGUAGGAAAGUCAAAAUCCAAAUGGUCUCAAGAGAAGCAACAAAGAAGUUUUCCAAGUCCAAGAAGGAAAAGGAUUCCAAGAUGAAGAAGGAAAGACAAAGACAUGGUUUCCUAAUCCUAAUAGGCAAAGUUUCCAAGUGAAAUGAGGAGUCCUUAUCCAUUUAGGGCACCUUAUCCAUUUAGGACACCUAAACCUUAUCCUUAUCCCUUAGUGCCGCACCCUAAACCUUCUAGAAACCUGAUUUCCUUGCCUUGCAAGGCCAUCUAGAAGCCUUAUCCUUAUAAUCCAUUCCUGCCGCACCUAGGGUGACCUUUCCUACCCAAAAUCUGAUUGUUUUAAGCCCUUUCCUGAUGGGAUUUAAUCCUCCAAGUCCUAAUCUGAUUUGCAAGACUUUUAGGACCCUAUAAAUACAUGAUGCCGCACCCUUCACAUUCACCACUCACCACAAUUCACAAUUCACUCCAGAAAUUCACAAGAACCCUUUGCCGCACCAAUUCACUCCCAUUCACCAUACAAUCUGACCUUGCCGCACCCCCCACCCUUCCUAAACACUUCUACCUUAGUCCAUACUCAUCCACCCAUACAUAUAAGUCCCAACCUGUCCCUAAAGUCCUUUGCCGCAGCAAGGAGGAGGAGAAUGAGCCUUGGAAGUUCAUGCCGUGCAAGUUCAAGUGGCUGGAAGUUUUAGGUGUUUCCUUCCCUUUGAUUUCAAUGUUUAAACUUAUUACUCUUUGUUUUAUGCUUAUGAGGAACUAAACCCCCCUUGGCUAGGGGGGGAUUCGAAAUACAUGAUUAUGCUUGCGAUAUGAUUUGAUUACUUCUAAUUGCGUUUCAUAAGUUGUGAAUUCAAUUUACUUAUCUAUAUGAAUUACAUUGAUUUUGUGUGUAUUGGUUGAGAGUGCACGCUUAAUUAUCAUGCAUAAAUUGAAUGCUAGGAUAUAAGGAAAUUUCACCUAAUCGUUA